rnacentral:rRNA from 1 species
CCUACGGGCGGCUGCAGUCGAGAAUCAUUCACAAUGGGGGAAACCCUGAUGGUGCGACGCCGCGUGAGGGAAGAAAGGUUUUGGGAUUUUAAACCCCUUUCAUGGGGAAGCAAAUUAAAAAGAUAGUACAACAAGAGGAAGAGACGGCUAACUCUGGGCCAGCAGCCGUGGUAAUACGGAGGUCACAAGCGUUGUUCGGGAUCACUGGGCGUAAAGCGUGCGGAGGCUGUUUCGUACAGCGUGAGGGAAAGGGGGGGGGCCAACCCGCGGAACGCACAUGAUACUGGUAGACUAGGUUAAUAGAGGGGGGACCGGAAUUCCCGGUGUAGCAGUGAAAUGCGUAGAUAACGAGGGGAAAACUCGUGGCGAAGGCGGGUUCCUGGACAUUAACUGACGCUGAGGCACGAAGGCCAGGGGAGCGAAAGGGAUUAGAUACCCGGGUAGUC